rnacentral:rRNA from 1 species
GAUGAACGCUGGCGGCGUGCCUAAUACAUGCAAGUCGAGCGAACAGAUGAGGAGCUUGCUCCUCUGACGUUAGCGGCGGACGGGUGAGUAACACGUGGAUAACCUCCCUAUAAGACUGGGAUAACUUCGGGAAACCGGAGCUAAUACCGGAUAAUAUAUUGAACCGCAUGGUUCAAUAGUGAAAGUCGGUUUUGCUGUCACUUAUAGAUGGAUCCGCGCCGCAUUAGCUAGUUGGUAAGGUAACGGCGUACCAAGGCGACGAUGCGUAGCCGACCUGAGAGGGUGAUCGGCGACACUGGAACUGAGACACGGUCCAGACUCCUGCGGGAGGCAGCAGUAGGGAAUCUUCCGCAAUGGGCGGAAGCCUGACGGAGCGACGCCGCGUGAGUGAUGAAGGUCUUCGGAUCGUAAAACUCUGUUAUUAGGGAAGAACAAAUGUGUAAGUAGCUAUGCACGUCUUGACGGUACCUGAUCAGAAAGCCACGGCUAACUACGUG